rnacentral:rRNA from 2 species
GUCGAACGAACUCUGGUAUUGAUUGGUGCUUGCAUCAUGAUUUACAUUUGAGUGAGUGGCGAACUGGUGAGUAACACGUGGGAAACCUGCCCAGAAGCGGGGGAUAACACCUGGAAACAGAUGCUAAUACCGCAUAACAACUUGGACCGCAUGGUCCGAGUUUGAAAGAUGGCUUCGGCUAUCACUUUUGGAUGGUCCCGCGGCGUAUUAGCUAGAUGGUGGGGUAACGGCUCACCAUGGCAAUGAUACGUAGCCGACCUGAGAGGGUAAUCGGCCACAUUGGGACUGAGACACGGCCCAAACUCCUACGGGAGGCAGCAGUAGGGAAUCUUCCACAAUGGACGAAAGUCUGAUGGAGCAACGCCGCGUGAGUGAAGAAGGGUUUCGGCUCGUAAAACUCUGUUGUUAAAGAAGAACAUAUCUGAGAGUAACUGUUCAGGUAUUGACGGUAUUUAACCAGAAAGCCACGGCUAACUACGUGCCAGCAGCCGCGGUAAUACGUAGGUGGCAAGCGUUGUCCGGAUUUAUUGGGCGUAAAGCGAGCGCAGGCGGUUUUUUAAGUCUGAUGUGAAAGCCUUCGGCUCAACCGAAGAAGUGCAUCGGAAACUGGGAAACUUGAGUGCAGAAGAGGACAGUGGAACUCCAUGUGUAGCGGUGAAAUGCGUAGAUAUAUGGAAGAACACCAGUGGCGAAGGCGGCUGUCUGGUCUGUAACUGACGCUGAGGCUCGAAAGUAUGGGUAGCAAACAGGAUUAGAUACCCUGGUAGUCCAUACCGUAAACGAUGAAUGCUAAGUGUUGGAGGGUUUCCGCCCUUCAGUGCUGCAGCUAACGCAUUAAGCAUUCCGCCUGGGGAGUACGGCCGCAAGGCUGAAACUCAAAGGAAUUGACGGGGGCCCGCACAAGCGGUGGAGCAUGUGGUUUAAUUCGAAGCUACGCGAAGAACCUUACCAGGUCUUGACAUACUAUGCAAAUCUAAGAGAUUAGACGUUCCCUUCGGGGACAUGGAUACAGGUGGUGCAUGGUUGUCGUCAGCUCGUGUCGUGAGAUGUUGGGUUAAGUCCCGCAACGAGCGCAACCCUUAUUAUCAGUUGCCAGCAUUAAGUUGGGCACUCUGGUGAGACUGCCGGUGACAAACCGGAGGAAGGUGGGGAUGACGUCAAAUCAUCAUGCCCCUUAUGACCUGGGCUACACACGUGCUACAAUGGAUGGUACAACGAGUUGCGAACUCGCGAGAGUAAGCUAAUCUCUUAAAGCCAUUCUCAGUUCGGAUUGUAGGCUGCAACUCGCCUACAUGAAGUCGGAAUCGCUAGUAAUCGCGGAUCAGCAUGCCGCGGUGAAUACGUUCCCGGGCCUUGUACACACCGCCCGUCACACCAUGAGAGUUUGUAACACCCAAAGUCGGUGGGGUAACCUUUUAGGAACCAGCCGCCUAAGGUGGACAG